UCAUCCUUAACCCAUAGCGACUUUCCCUUUGUCAUGUAAUGCCCCAAUUAGAUGGGCAAAUUUAUGUCACUAUGGCUGACACAGUGCUAGAUGGGAAAGGUAAGUCGCAAUCGGAUUUAAUGGAAGUACUGAUUGGCCUGCACAUUAUGUAUGUGUUAUUCUAGGCAAUAUUUGACAAAAGAAGAACAUUAACGCAAUCAGUCGUGAAUAACGAGACUGCUCUCAUUGGCAAAGGAAAAAUGCCGUUUCCAAAAAGCGGGGAUGCUUGGAACAUGAAAUCGUAAAAAAAAAAAUGAUUUCGGAAUUAGUGCCGGCCAUGCAGUGAGUAUUGCUUUAUCUAUUUUUGGAGCACUGUCAUCGAGGCUACACACUACAAUGCAGCAAAGCGAGUUCCAUGGAUGCACUCUACAUUGGGUGUCACUAGUAAAGCUUUCCAUGUGACAGCCUGCAAAUUACUCUAAUGACAAAGUGCACACGCUCAAGGUUAUACUAAACUUGCCCAUCUGACAAGAGUUAUAGCCGAGUGCAGCCUACCAAAGAAGAAAGACCUGGCCUGAUUACCAUCACUCACAUAACCAGCAGGAAAACUGGCAGAACAGUUGAACACUUGUCAUAAAUGCUGAACAACACUUGCAUUAGCUGUGUGCCAGCGUUUGUUUAGUGUGCAUAUUUUCUGUGUUCCGUCUGUUUCUGUGCUGAUAAGAGAGUCACUAGAAGAACUCGGCCAGCCAUCGUGCCCCAUGCAACAGCAAUGCCUUCAUCUCAACCCAUGGGGUGAAGCACGAAUUUAGCCUCUUCCAGUUCUCUACGUAAUGCAAAACUGUGCAAGUAACAUUUCGAACAGCUGUAAUAAAUCUGGGACGUGCAUACAAGAAGGGUACAAGUGUAACAAAUUUGAGUGCAAUUACAGUAUAAUCACCUCAUGCCAUAUGCUAAGUCUUGCGAAAGAUGGGCAAGAUAGCAGAUAUAACAAAAAAAACCUGCUAGUUGUUUACUUCACUCAAUCAUUUAAUUGCCAAGACAGGAAAACAGAGGUGUUCAAUUAGGGUAACCUGUUUGUCAAAUCAAAUGAUGCUUGGAAAAUGUGGGCUUUUAAUAUCAAGUUGAAUAUGAAUAGCCCUUUUUAUGAAAAAUAUGGCUGAGAGAGAAAGCAUAAAAAAUGUUACCUGUGUCCCUGAAUACACAAGAUGCUCUUUGUAAAUCUGUCCCAAUGGGCAGCUUGCGAACGAGCGGAAAGCGAAAGGUCAUCGCAGUUCAUGUGAUCAUGACAAUGAAAAUAGCAGAAACAAAAGGAACAUCACAUGACUAGAUGCAUGAAGGAAAAUUGUAGAAUGUGCAACUGCAUAUGUGCAGUGCAUAUUAACAGAAACAACUCGAAAAAAAUUAAAAAUCUGUGCUUACAGCUGCUUUUUCAGCUUCAUAUAUUCAACCAUGAUGGCCUUUUUUAGUCCAAACCUUAAUAUAUAAAACUUGAUGUCAGCUCCUGCCUGGUUAGUUCAGAUAAAAUUAGAAACUGGAAUCGUCUGCAUGCCUUCGUAAUAGAACAGCAUACUUCUGCAACAGGCAGAUUGGCCUUGCUAAUAAAUAAAAAAAUGUGGUUACAGUGACAGUGUGUGCUGCUUCCAUUAUUUGCCAGUGAUUGGCAACACCAGUCUACCUGUGGGCAAGAACUUACAUUCUUCAGUGGCAAGGUACACAGAGGAUGCCAGAAAGCAGGCAAAUGCCAAUUAUUUUAUUUGAGAUGAAAACAAACAACAUUUUGAUCAUGGAAUGAAAUUUGGGAGCCAGUAAACAAGCAAAAGUGUAAAAUCUUUUCGAUCUGAUAUGUUGUUUCUGUUACUGUUCUCAUUCGUCGCAAUUAACUAUAUGCAGGUCACUGUACUAAGGUAACAUAGAAAAUUACUAAUCAUAUUGUUCAGAAAAGGAACAGAUUUUGAACCACACCACCAUACAGAAAGUCAGUGACGUGGUAGGCAAUAUGAAGAGAAAUAGAACUUUUCAUCAGUCGAGAAACGAGUCUAGGGGUAGCAUAAAAACAAACCAUACUUGGUUAGGUUGUUUGCAGGCUACCA
rnacentral:lncRNA from 1 species